UACGGAGGAUGCGAGCGUUAUCCGGAUUUAUUGGGUUUAAAGGGUGCGUAGGCGGAACAUUAAGUCAGCGGUAAAAUCGAGGGGCUCAACCCCUUUAAGCCGUUGAAACUGGCUGUCUUGAGAUGUCGAGAGGUAUGCGGAAUGCGCAGUGUAGCGGUGAAAUGCUUAGAUAUUGCGCAGAACUCCGAUUGCGAAGGCAGCAUACCGGCGGCGAUCUGACGCUGAGGCACGAAAGCGUGGGUAUCGAACAGG
rnacentral:rRNA from 1 species